rnacentral:rRNA from 1 species
GACGAACGCUGGCGGCGUGCUUAACACAUGCAAGUCGAACGGUAAGGCCCUGCUGGUGUGAGGUGCUCGAGUGGCGAACGGGUAAGUAACACGUGAGUAACCUGCCCUUGACUGUGGGGUAACUUCAGGUAACUGGGGCUAAUAACGGAUAGUAGCUCCUGCUGGAGGGUGGGGGUUGGAAAGUUUGGGCGGUUGGGGAUGGACUCGCGGCUUGUCAGCUUGUUGGUUGGGUAGUGGCUUACCAAGGCAUUGACGGGUGGCCGGCCUGAGAGGGUGACCGGCCACACUGGGACUGAGAGACGGCCCAGACUGCUACCGGAGGCAGCAGGCGGGAAUAUUGAAUGAUGGGCGGAAGCCUGAUGCAGCAACGCCGGGUGCGGGAUGACGGCCUUCGGGUUGUAAACCGCUUUCGCCUGUGACGAAGCGUGAGUGACGGUAAUGGGUAAAGAAGCACCGGCUAACUACGUG